CGCACAUUGCGCCCGCCAGUAUUCUGGCGGGCAUGCCUGUUCGAGCGUCAUUUCAACCCUCAAGCCCCCACGCUUGGUGUUGGGGACCGGACCCGGGAGGAGAGAUCCCCCUGGGCGCCGCCCCCGAAAUUCAGUGGCGGUCCCGCCGCAGCCUCCUCUGCGCAGUAGCUCUAACGAACCUCGCACCGGAGAGCGGCAGGCCCACGCCGUAAAACCCCAACUUUCUGAAUUGUUGACCUCGGAUCAGGUAGGAAUACCCGCUGAACUUAA
rnacentral:misc_RNA from 1 species